ensembl:lncRNA
CCCAGGUUCAAAUCCCAUUCUGUGUGAAGUUUGCAUGUUAGCCCUGCAAAAGUGUUUGCCGCUGCAUAGUACAUGGGAUAAGGUCCAGCCCCACUGCAACCCUUAUUUAAAUAAGUAGAAGAGGAUAGAUGGAUCGAUUGAUUAAUGCUGAAAAAUCUAAUCCAGUUCUGACACAGACAAUAUUUAUUUUUUUGUAUGGUUAGGAAACUGAAAUGAACAAGAAGCUAAGGGAGGAAAAUGCAACUGAACUAGCAGAAAAGCAGGAGGUGAUACGGUCUCUGCAGCACACC